UACUGAAUCUUUAUUUCAAAUCAGUGAAUUUCAUCCCAUAACCCAUUUCAAAUAUGUACAGUAGUGCCAUUUAAAAUAAAAUAUAAGAUAAGGCUUUAUGGUACGAUGCCUUCGCUUUUCACAUAGAAGUGACAGUCUCAAAAAUAAUCAAAAUCAGUCAAAACAAAAGCACGUUUCAAAAAUUAUUUUGAUCUGAUUCAUUUUCUAAAAUAAAACUUAGUAAAGAAAUUAAAAAUGGCUCAAGGCAAGCUAAAAGUAAAAACGAAGCUACCCUCCGGUGCCAAAGCUAAAAAGGGCAAAAAUAAGGCAAAAGGUAAAGCAGUCACGAAACGUCCUAACGCGCCCGUUCCAAGUAAAUCUUUGAUUGAGCGUAACAAGAUGAAAGCUGCUGUAACGAAGAUGGUGAAUUCUGUUGCUGAGCAACAACUUCGAGCACUGGCAACUACCACUCCGCAGCUCUCGGCGGCCCAGCAGCGGGCGGCAGCCGCUCCUACAGCACCGGCACCUGCUAAAUGACCUCAAACAAUAUUGGGAUAACCUAACGUGUGAUUGUUCAGAUUAAUAAUCUGUAAAAAAAACCUAAUAAUCAGAUUAUGUAUAAUUUUGUACAGAUUAAGUGAUAUUUUUAUUAAAAUAUAAGUAUCCGACUGCCCAACUUA